rnacentral:tRNA from 1 species
GGAGUUGAUAAGUCGAGCUCAGUUUUGAGAGCGCUCCGAUGCAAUCGGAGAGGUCGGGGGUUCGACUCCCCCUGGCUCCA